rnacentral:rRNA from 1 species
CCUACGGGAGGCAGCAGUGGGGGAUAUUGCACAAUGGGGGAAACCCUGAUGCAGCGACGCCGCGUGGGGGAAGACGGUCCUCUGGAUUGUAAACCACUGUCCCCAGGGACGAAGAUGACGGUACCUGGGGAGGAAGCUCCGGCUAACUACGUGCCAGCAGCCGCGGUAAUACGUAGGGAGCGAGCGUUGUCCGGAAUUACUGGGUGUAAAGGGAGCGUAGGCGGGACUGCAAGUUGGGUGUCAAAUCUACCGGCUCAACCGGUAGCCGCACUCAAAACUGCAGUUCUUGAGUGAAGUAGAGGCAGGCGGAAUGCCUAGUGUAGCGGUGAAAUGCGGAGAUAUUAGGAGGAACACCAGUGGCGAAGGCGGCCUGCUGGGCUUUUACUGACGCUGAGGCUCGAAAGUGUGGGGAGCAAACAGGAUUAGAUACCCUUGUAGUC